rnacentral:rRNA from 1 species
GACGUAGGGCGCGAGCGUUGUCCGGAUUUAUUGGGCGUAAAGAGCGCGCAGGCGGUCGUUCAAGUCGAGUGUGAAAGCCCCCGGCUCAACUGGGGAGGGUCAUUCGAUACUGAUCGACUGGAAGGCAGGAGAGGGAAGUGGAAUUCCCGGUGUAGUGGUGAAAUGCGUAGAUAUCGGGAGGAACACCAGUGGCGAAGGCGACUUCCUGGCCUGUUCUUGACGCUGAGGCGCGAAAGCUAGGGGAGCAAACGGG